rnacentral:lncRNA from 1 species
CACUCCAUUACAUUUUAGUCCUGUCAUAAUGGCAAAUUCACCUAACCCAAAAUGUAUCAAUGAACCAUUCACUAGUAGCCAAAUCUCAUCAGUUUUUUCUUGAACAACCUCCAUCAUCAAUAAGGAAUGUAUCAAUUGUGUUUGAAUCAUCACUGGAGGUAAUUUGAGAAAAAAUCCAAAACAAGUGUCACUAAAUAUUUG